rnacentral:misc_RNA from 1 species
AAAAAGGAUACCGGGCAACCGGUAGACCCCACCCGUGUCUCUCUACUCUUGUUGCUUUGGCAGGCCGUGGCCUCCACCGCGGGCUCUGCCUGCGUGUGCCUGCCAGAGGACCAAACUCUGAAUUUUAGUGAUGUCUGAGUACUAUAUAAUAGUUA